CAGCAGCCACGGUAAUACGAAGGGUGCAGGCGUUACUCGGAAUUACUGGGCGUAAAGCGUGCGUAGGUGGUGGUUUAAGUCCGUUGUGAAAGCCCUGGGCUCAACCUGGGAAUUGCAGUGGAUACUGGAUCGCUAGAGUGUGUCAGAGGAUGGUGGAAUUCCCGGUGUAGCGGUGAAAUGCGUAGGGAUCGGGAGGAACAUCAGUGGCGAAGGCGGCCAUCUGGGACAACACUGACGCUGAGGCACGAAAGCGUGGGGAGCAAACAGGAUUAGAUACCCGCGUAGUCCCUGUCUCUUAUAC
rnacentral:rRNA from 1 species